GUGCUGUCUUCGGCAGCACAUACACUAAAAUUGGAACGAUACAGAGAUUAGCAUGGCCCCUGCGCAAGGAUGACACGCAAAUUCGUGAAGCGUUCCGUAUUUUU
rnacentral:snRNA from 1 species